GUGGGGAAUAUUGGGCAAUGGGGGCAACCCUGACCCAGCGACGCCGCGUGGGGGAAGACGGCCUUCGGGUUGUAAACCUCUUUUGUACGGGAAGAAGGAAGUGACGGUACUGUACGAAUAAGUCCCGGCUAACUACGUGCCAGCAGCCGCGGUAAUACGUAGGGGACGAGCGUUGUCCGGAAUUACUGGGUGUAAAGGGCGCGCAGGCUGUGCUGCAAGUCAGCUGUUAAAUGUCUGGGCUUAACCCGGGCAUGCGGUUGAGACUGCGGUGCUGGAGUGCUGUAGAGGCAAGUGGAAUUCCCAGUGUAGCGGUGAAAUGCGUAGAUAUUGGGAAGAACACCGGUGGCGAAGGCGACUUGCUGGGCAGCAACUGACGCUGAGGCGCGAAAGCCAGGGGAGCAAACGGGAUUAGAAACCCUAGUAGUCC
rnacentral:rRNA from 1 species